GCCUUUCUCAACUUGCUUGGCUUGGCAUAAUGAUGGAUGGUAGAAAGAUGGAAGAUAUCCACCUGAAUAAGCUUGACUAGUUUAUUCAAACUAAAAUUUUCGGACAGUUGAAAGAAGCUAUUGCUAAAUGUGACGAAUGAUAUUUGUUUUCGUUUGUUUGAUUAGUCUCUCCUCUUUCCAGAAAUAGUGUAGCAGAAGAAACACGUGACAGCUGGGAUGCCUCAAUCUAACUGGUUACUGCUAUAGAAAAAAUGUAAAGCAUGGCAGGAAAGUUCAUGCUGUUAGAAUGGAAUUCAGAGCUCUGUAGCUUAGUAAGAAAGAAGGAAGAAAGUUCAGACACCAAUGGGAACUGGUCACCAUCAUUAACAGGUUAUAUUUAAAAGAAAUGGCUUGGGUGAAGAAACCUUGAAGGUCAGAUGCCUGUGGUACCCGUCAACUACAUUGAAAAGAUUACAUUUAAAAAAAAUGGUUUGGCUGAAAAAACAUGAAGGCAAAAUACCUGUGAUAACCGAUCACCUUUACUGAAUUAGAAAUGGUUUGGCUGAAGAAGCAUGAAGCCAAAAUACCUGUGAUAACCGAUCACCUUUACUGAAUUAGGAAUUAUUUUGAUGGAGUAGGAGUGUGAAGCUCAAGAUACCUGUAGGACAACUGGAUGGCUUUAUGAAAAGAUAUGAUGUGUAACAGAAAGGUCUGUGCUGUCAGAGUGGAAAUCAGAUCCAGCCCAGCCUCCCUCGUUUAAGGGUAAGAAUUGCUUGAACUUCGCAAGCGCUGCCACAAAAUGGAUUUUUUAAUGAUGCAUAUAUUGUGAAUGGUAAACCCUCUACUGUAUUGAUACUGUGAUGGACAAAAAACCACAAUACACAAACAAGAUUUAUUAGAAAUGAGAACUGUUUUGAAAUCCUUGAUUCCCAAUUCAGGUCAGACCUGAAGGUGGAAUUCAGGAGGAUUUUGAAACUGUUGUCUUGUUUUUAACAAAUCUAGUUUGUGACUGUGGGUUUUUCUACUAUGUGUAUUGUAUCUUUUUUUUAAUAAAGUACUUUAAAUAAAAA